AGGAUUCGGCGCCAGCGGGUCCAUCAGAGCCACCCACUCAAGCAUUUUCUCAUGGGUCUGCCGAGCCAGCAGUGUCUUCCCAUAUGACUACCGAGCCACAGGAUUCGGCGCCAGUGGGUCCACAGGAGCUGCCCAUUCCGGAGCAUUCUCAUCAGCCUGCCGAGGCAGAGGUGUCUUCUCAUGAGACUACCGAGGCGCAUCAUCUCGUCCAGGAGACUACCUCAUAUUCACCAUCACACCCAUCUCAGGAGGCUACAGACCCAUCUCAGGAGCCUUCUCAGGCGCCCGUUGACAC